rnacentral:rRNA from 1 species
AGCUCCAAUAGCGUAUAUUAAAGUUGUUGCGGUUAAAAAGCUCGUAGUUGGAUCUCGGCAGCCAGGGGGCGGUUCGCUCCAAAGCGUGACUGCCCCAUUUGGCUGUGUGAUUGGCGGAGGUUCCGGGGUGCUCUUCGUUGAGUGUCCCGGUGCGCCGUCAGGUUUACUUUGAAAAAAUUAGAGUGCUCAAAGCAGGCUUUUCAGGCUUGAAUAUUCGUGCAUGGAAUAAUGGGAUAGGGACUCGGUCCUAAUUUUUUUGGUUUCGGGAAACCAGGUAAAUGUUAAAUGGGACCAUUGGGGGCAUUAGUAUUCAAACGACAGAGGUGAAAUUCUUGGACCGUUUGAAGACUAACUACUGCGAAAGCAUUUGCCAAGAGUGUUUUCA